ensembl:lncRNA
CAGUGUUCCAGCCGUUUUCUGUUCUACGAUAAGAUCCUCACUGAGUGAGUGAAAGAAAGAGAAAGAGAGGGUGUGCAUUGAUGGAGGUAGAGAGAGUCUCAUUUGUGUUGAGAUGUAGUUAGUGUGUGUGAGAGAGAGAGAGAGAGAGAGUGUGAGAGAGAGAGAGAGAGAGAGUGUGAGAGAGAGUGGAGAGAGAGAGAGAGAGAAAGGUAGAGAGAGUCUUAUUUGUGUUGAGAUGUAGUUAGUGUGUGUGUGAGAGAGAGAGAGAGAAGAAGAAAGAAAGAAAGAAAGAAAGGUAGAGAGAGUCUUAUUUGUGCUGAGAUGUAGAAGAGUGUGAGGUCCAGACCAUCUGUGUUACAUCAAACCAUUCAGUGAUCCCUUUGCUCUGUGGAUGGGGCGGAGUCACCCUGCACGAGACCACGCCCACCAGAAUAGAAAGGUUUCAUCA